rnacentral:tRNA from 1 species
GCGCCCAUCGCCCAAUGGAUAGGGCACCAGUCUUCGGAACUGGCCUUGGUGGUUCGACUCCACCUGGGCGCA